CACUUUCCUUUCCUUUCCUUUCCAAUUAUCCUGGAGAGAGAAAAAUGUAGAGUUUCUUUACGUAGUUAGGGUUUCAUCAAAACCUUGGCCAAGUUUAACAAUUUUGGUCUGCGAUUCACAAUUAGGCUCGACCUUAAUUCGAAAUUCUUGCAAUUCUCUGCGAAAUUCAAACGCGAAAUCAUCUGCGAAAUUCCCUCUCACGUCGCUGCUUGAAAUAGUGUGUUCAUCGAGUUGGAGGGUUGAAUUGGGGCUUUGCAUUCGAACAAGUUAGGAUGAGAAAUUCACGAUGAAAGCCAAUAAGGCCAUCUUUCCUAGUCCACACCAUCAGGUUAGAGUUUCAGAAUAUGAAAGAAUGCGGAUGGAGAAUUUGAAAAUGAAUGUGGACAGAAUGACUGCUAAAGGUGCCGGGUUCUUAGCUACGAAAAUACUACAAGAAAAACUUCAUGUUUCGAGUUUUCCAAAUGGAAAUGGCAAUAAACUGGUGGAAUAACCGGAUGAUGAGUCAACAUCUGAGUAUGAUGGAGGCUGUAAUGAGGAUGAAACUACUAGCAACAUGGAAAUUGAAAUUUUCACCCGUCAUAAAAAAAAGGAGCAUGGGGGAGCUAAAUGGAUAAGAAGUGUAGAUCUAGUAAUGAGACGGUGGUGGCUCUUGUUUGCUUUGGGUCGUUUUGUGAUUUCUAGUAACGUUGAAUUUGUUUCUAUGGAUUUUAAUUUUAGUACGGCAUUAAAAACACUAAAUUAAUUAGUGAACAACUAUUUUGUAAUGCAUGUGUUCUAUGGGCACUAAAAUUGUAAUAUUACUCUUCAAGUCAAUGAAAAUAUUUUUGUUAUUGA